AUCCAGACUUUCCGAAAUGAGAAUAGAACUGAAAGAUUACCAACACAAGGUGGUCGGGAACGUCUUCUGUCUCCUGAACAGGAAACUGAAAUAAUCAACAUGGUCCUAGAAAAUAACGCCAUAACAUUACGGCAAAUACAAAGAAAAAUCCUAGAAAACAAUGAGAUGUUUCAAAAUAUUGAUAGGGUAAGCUUAUCAACACUGGACCGUGUCUUGCGCAGAAAUAAUCUGAGGAUGAAGCAGGUCUACAGGGUGCCAUUUGAACGCAAUUCAGAAAGAAAUUGCGACAUAACUAUGUGCAAAGAGUCCUCGAGCUAGAGGUGGCUGCAGUGGAGCACCAGUUCAUCUUCAUUGAUGAGGUUGGAUUCAACCUCACAAAAAGACGAAGGAGGGGAAGGAAUAUCAUCGG